CCUACGGGUGGCAGCAGUCGAGAAUAAUUCACAAUGGGGGAAACCCUGAUGGAGCGACGCCGCGUGGGGGAAGGAAGGUCUGCGGAUUGUAAACCCCUGUCAUGGGGGAGCAAAUUAAAAAGAGAGAACCACAAGAGGAAGAGACGGCUAACGCUGUGCCAGCAGCCGCGGUAAGACAGAGGUCUCAAGCGUUGUUCGGAACCACUGGUCGUAACGCGUGCGUAGGCUUUGUCGUACGUCGUGGGUGAAAGGCCCGGGCUCAACCCGCGGACGGCACUUGAUACUGCGAGACUAGGGUACUGGUGCGGGAACCGGAAUUCUCUGUGUAGCCGUGAAAUGCGUAGUUAUCUGGAGGAACACUCGUGGCGAAGGCGGGUUCCUGGACCUUACCUGACGCUGAGGCACGAAGGCCUGGGGAGCGAACAGGAUUAGAUACCCCUGUAGUC
rnacentral:rRNA from 1 species